AAGCGCGCUUGGAGCAUGGCGACUCGGGCCAAGCGCGCAAGGCUUAGUAGCGGGCGGCCGGCGCCGGGGCCCCCAGCCCAUGCCCUCGGCCCCUCCCGCCGGCCUCCCUGCGCUGCCGCCAGCCCCCCACGCGCGCCCUCUUCCCAGGCAGCGCGGGCCGCGGGCGGUGGCGAGCAGGAACCCGACCCGGUGGCCGGCUUCCUGAGCUGGUGCGGGCGGGUGGGGCUGGAGCUGAGUCCCAAGGUGGCAGUGAGCAGGCAGGGCACAGUGGCCGGCUACGGAAUGGUGGCCCGGGAGAGCGUGCAGCCCGGGGAGCUGCUGUUCGCGGUGCCGCGGGCCGCGCUCUUGUCCCCGCACACCUGCUCUAUCGGCGGCCUCCUGGAGCGAGAGCGAGACGUACUGCAGAGCCAGUCGGGCUGGGUGCCGCUGCUGAUGGCGCUGCUCCACGAACUGCAGGCUCCAGCCUCACCCUGGAGCCCCUACUUUGCGCUCUGGCCCGAGCUGGGCCGUCUGGAGCACCCCAUGUUCUGGCCUGAGGAGGAGCGGCGGCGCUUGCUGCAGGGCACCGGUGUCCCCGAGGCUGUGGACAAGGAUCUGGUCAACAUCCGCGGCGAGUACUACGCCAUCGUGCUGCCCUUCAUGGAAGCCCAUCCAGACCUGUUCGGUCCCAGUGUCCGCUCCCUGGAACUCUAUCGCCAGCUCGUGGCCCUUGUGAUGGCCUAUAGCUUUCAGGAACCCCUGGAGGAAGAAGAGGAGGAAAAGGAGCCAAACUCCCCUUUGAUGGUGCCUGCAGCAGACAUACUAAACCACUUAGCCAAUCACAAUGCCAAUCUAGAGUACUCUGCAGUGAGUGGAUCCCACCUAGUUCUUGUUAUUGCCUUGAUGACUGGGCACCUGAGUCAAGCCAUUGUUGUCACUGGGCUCUGCUUUCCUACUUCUAAAAAUGAGGAUUACCUUCGGAUGGUGGCUACUCGGUCCAUUCCUAAAGGCCAUGAGAUUUUCAACACUUAUGGGCAAAUGGCUAAUUGGCAGCUGAUUCAUAUGUAUGGUUUUGUUGAGCCGUAUCCUGACAACACAGAUGACACAGCUGACAUUCAGAUGGUGACUGUUCGUGAAGCAGCCUUACAGGGAGUGAAAGAGGAAGCUGAAAGGCUCCUCCUAUUUGAGCGCUGGGAUUUCUUAUGCAAAAUGGAGAUGGUAGGGGAAGAGGGGGCAUUCGUGAUUGGACGUGAGGAGGUGCUGACUGAAGAGGAGCUGACCACCACACUCAAGGUACUGUGUAUGCCUGCUGAGGAGUUCAGAGCUUUUAAGAACUGGGAUGUAUGGGGAAAGAAUGAAAGGGAAGAGAACAGCUUGACCAUCACCAGUAUCCCGAAACUCAAAGCAUCGUGGAGACAGCUGCUUCGAGACAGUGUUCUUUUGACCUUACAGACCUACACCACAGACUUAAAAACUGACCAAGAUAUCCUCAGUAACAAGGAGGCCUAUGCCAAACUCAGCUGGAGGGAACAGCAGGCCUUACAGGUUCGCUAUGGACAGAAGAUGAUCUUACAUCAGUUGUUGGCAUUGACAAGUUAGUUCUUGCUGCCUGAAGGAAAAGCAGUAAGAACAUCAUCCUAAGCUGCUGAAAAAGGAAAGUCUGGACCUUUUGCUUUUAUUAAAUACCCAAAGGGAAAGUAGCAAUGGUGUUAACUCUAAAGUGAGGGUGAUUAAAGUAAAGCUAGUCAGCAGACUUGGGCAUCGCUGCUAGUUGUUAUUUAAAGUGACCUUAGGGGGCAUGUAAUAUGGGCUGACCUCCAGCUUAUGAGCUUUCUGCCUGCUUCAUCCUGAGUGCUGGGGCUCUAGGCAUGUGUCAUCAUGGUCAGCAAGAACAAGAGCUUUGAGGGGUGGGGAGGUACUGGGGAUCAAACUCAGAACUUUGUGCUUUUGGGGCAGGCACAGUGCUACUGAGCUAAAUCCCAGGCCCCAAGAACAAGAGCUUUUAUAGCUGUGGUGUUCUUCUAUAGCCAGGUAUUAAUAGCAUGGGCUCUGGGUGAAGACAUGGUUCAAACCUGAGUCUGUUUUGAGAGAAGCCUCCAUUUCCUGGAAAGAAAAGGCUACAUAAUCAGCACUGGGUUGGAGUCACUGGUUGCUGUACUUGUAGCUUCGGUUGUCUAAUCACUCUGAAGUUUGCACUGGGUGGCACAGUUACCAUUCAAGAAGAAACCCAAAGACACUAAGGACAUUCAAACCUCACGCAUAUGAAAUUGUUUAAUUUUGAAACCUUGUCCUCCCUAGCCAUAAAACCUGACUACCAUCAAAGGUAAUGGUAAAUUAGGGCUGGGGAUUUAGCUCAGUGGUUUUGUCGCCUGCUGCGCAAGUGCAAGAACCCAAGUUCGAUCCCCAGUGCCAAAAAAAGUAAUGGUAAAUUAUAACUGAGAUUAAGCUUUAAUACCUAUUUUAAAAGAAAAAUUAUUGGCUGGUGUCUUUAAAUCCAGUAUGACCAUAGAAAACCCAUAGUGGGGUUUGUUGUCGAAAUACUAUAUAAAAGUAAUUUCCUUGUUUAAACACUGCUGACUUAGUGGGAAAGUGUGGUUUAGCCUGAAGUGGGUCUCCCAGUGGUCCUGGGCUCUCUGCAACUCGGCUGUCCACUUUCCUUCACCAGCACUGGCUGCUGCUACCGAGAAAAGGCAUGAUGGACUCACAUGCACAUCUGACUUCACAUUUUCCAAGUAGCAUGAGUGAUGGGGGAGCUUUAAGCCUGGUUUGGAACCAAGGUGCAGAUUUUCCAGCAGGAUCAGAAAGUGGGCACCUUUAGAUCAGCUUUGGGAAAAGGUAAGCAAAGCCCUGUGGGAUCUCAAUGUGAGCCCUUCCCAUGUUCCAACGCAUUCACAUUUUUAAUAAUUUAAGGAUUUUUAAGGUCCUUUACAUUAAAAAAUACCUUGCACAAUAUUUAAACUGUUUUUUGCUAUCCUUUGUGACACUGAGAAUGUCAGAAGACAGGGAGCUGUGCCCCCAGACAAGUGCAUGGCACCAGGUGCCUCUAUGUACUUGCCUCGAAUACAUUUUGUACAGACUCAAUUUCCAGACAAAGGUUUUCUUUUUCAUAUAUUUACACAAUUCAAAGUGAUAUUCACAGCAUGUUCUAAAUUUUGGCCAAGAGUCAAAAAAA